AGAAGGUUAACCAACUCAUCGGAGAAAUAUUUUUAUAAGAUUGCAUACGGAAACAUCAUUAUUUACGUUUCUUCGUUCCCCGUUUUUAACAGUCUCUUCCUAAAUAUAACCCUGCAUUUAAUUCAUGGAAUUUUAAUCGUAAUUACACCUUAUGUAAGAAUCCGGGGUUUUGAUUGGUUAAUAGCCAGUGUAUUUUUCACCAAUUUACUGUUAUCAAAUGAAUAUCGUUCAUUUUUAACGCCGCCGGGGUAUUUGCUAAAAGGAUAUGCCUUUUUUACCCUCUCUGCCGUGGUAUUUGCCAAAAAAUACUCUAUCCGACUGGACGCUUGUAACGUCACGAUCAUCAAUGCGUUUUAGUACAUUAACAUUCGGUGUAAUUAAACAGAUAUAUCAUGUUAUUGAGGGGUAUUUGCGAAAAAUACCAGUCUUGAGAAUGAAUUUCCCUCGCCUUACGGCUCGUGAAAUUUAACAUUCUCUCGACUGGUAUUUUUCGCAAAUACCCCUCCUUAACAUGAUAUAUCUGUUCAUAAUUUACC
rnacentral:lncRNA from 1 species